UGGUGGAAAUUACACAUGUAAAGCACAAAGUUAUAAUGAUCCACGUUUUACAAAUGAAAAAUCUAUUGAAGUAACAGUGAAAGCUACUUACAACGUUCUUUGUGAUGACAUAAAUGAGAGAAUAAAACAGUACAAAACAGAAUGGUACAUUAAUUUAA